UUUCCGUAGGUGAACCUGCGGAAGGAUCAUUAGCGAGUUUUGACUGGGUUGUAUCUUGCCUUCCGAGGCAUGUGCACGUCCUGCUCAUCCACUCUACAGCUGUCCACUUGCUGUGGGUAUCGCAUCGUGAACAGUGCUCUUUUACCGGAGCUUGCGGAGCUUGUCUGUGCCUGCGUUUAUCUCAAACACUAUAAAGUAUCAGAAUUCGUACUACGACGUAACGCAUCUAUAUACAACUUUCAACAACGGAUCUCUUGGCUCUC
rnacentral:misc_RNA from 1 species